rnacentral:rRNA from 1 species
GGGUUGUGAGGUUAAGCGACUAAGCGUACACGGUGGAUGCCCUGGCAGUCAGAGGCGAUGAAGGACGUGCUAAUCUGCGAUAAGCGUCGGUAAGGUGAUAUGAACCGUUAUAACCGGCGAUUUCCGAAUGGGGAAACCCAGUGUGUUUCGACACACUAUCAUUAACUGAAUUCAUAGGUUAAUGAGGCGAACCGGGGGAACUGAAACAUCUAAGUACCCCGAGGAAAAGAAAUCAACCGAGAUUCCCCCAGUAGCGGCGAGCGAACGGGGAGGAGCCCAGAGCCUGAAUCAGUGUGUGUGUUAGUGGAAGCGUCUGGAAAGGCGCGCGAUACAGGGUGACAGCCCCGUACACAAAAAUGCACAUGCUGUGAGCUCGAUGAGUAGGGCGGGACACGUGGUAUCCUGUCUGAAUAUGGGGGGACCAUCCUCCAAGGCUAAAUACUCCUGACUGACCGAUAGUGAACCAGUACCGUGAGGGAAAGGCGAAAAGAACCCCGGCGAGGGGAGUGAAAAAGAACCUGAAACCGUGUACGUACAAGCAGUGGGAGCACAGAGCAAUCUGUGUGACUGCGUACCUUUUGUAUAAUGGGUCAGCGACUUAUAUUCUGUAGCAAGGUUAACCGAAUAGGGGAGCCGAAGGGAAACCGAGUCUUAACUGGGCGUUAAGUUGCAGGGUAUAGACCCGAAACCCGGUGAUCUAGCCAUGGGCAGGUUGAAGGUUGGGUAACACUAACUGGAGGACCGAACCGACUAAUGUUGAAAAAUUAGCGGAUGACUUGUGGCUGGGGGUGAAAGGCCAAUCAAACCGGGAGAUAGCUGGUUCUCCCCGAAAGCUAUUUAGGUAGCGCCUCGUGAAUUCAUCUCCGGGGGUAGAGCACUGUUUCGGCAAGGGGGUCAUCCCGACUUACCAACCCGAUGCAAACUGCGAAUACCGGAGAAUGUUAUCACGGGAGACACACGGCGGGUGCUAACGUCCGUCGUGAAGAGGGAAACAACCCAGACCGCCAGCUAAGGUCCCAAAGUCAUGGUUAAGUGGGAAACGAUGUGGGAAGGCCCAGACAGCCAGGAUGUUGGCUUAGAAGCAGCCAUCAUUUAAAGAAAGCGUAAUAGCUCACUGGUCGAGUCGGCCUGCGCGGAAGAUGUAACGGGGCUAAACCAUGCACCGAAGCUGCGGCAGCGACACUGUGUGUUGUUGGGUAGGGGAGCGUUCUGUAAGCCUGUGAAGGUGUGCUGUGAGGCAUGCUGGAGGUAUCAGAAGUGCGAAUGCUGACAUAAGUAACGAUAAAGCGGGUGAAAAGCCCGCUCGCCGGAAGACCAAGGGUUCCUGUCCAACGUUAAUCGGGGCAGGGUGAGUCGACCCCUAAGGCGAGGCCGAAAGGCGUAGUCGAUGGGAAACAGGUUAAUAUUCCUGUACUUGGUGUUACUGCGAAGGGGGGACGGAGAAGGCUAUGUUGGCCGGGCGACGGUUGUCCCGGUUUAAGCGUGUAGGCUGGUUUUCCAGGCAAAUCCGGAAAAUCAAGGCUGAGGCGUGAUGACGAGGCACUACGGUGCUGAAGCAACAAAUGCCCUGCUUCCAGGAAAAGCCUCUAAGCAUCAGGUAACAUCAAAUCGUACCCCAAACCGACACAGGUGGUCAGGUAGAGAAUACCAAGGCGCUUGAGAGAACUCGGGUGAAGGAACUAGGCAAAAUGGUGCCGUAACUUCGGGAGAAGGCACGCUGAUAUGUAGGUGAAGUCCCUCGCGGAUGGAGCUGAAAUCAGUCGAAGAUACCAGCUGGCUGCAACUGUUUAUUAAAAACACAGCACUGUGCAAACACGAAAGUGGACGUAUACGGUGUGACGCCUGCCCGGUGCCGGAAGGUUAAUUGAUGGGGUCAGCGCAAGCGAAGCUCUUGAUCGAAGCCCCGGUAAACGGCGGCCGUAACUAUAACGGUCCUAAGGUAGCGAAAUUCCUUGUCGGGUAAGUUCCGACCUGCACGAAUGGCGUAAUGAUGGCCAGGCUGUCUCCACCCGAGACUCAGUGAAAUUGAACUCGCUGUGAAGAUGCAGUGUACCCGCGGCAAGACGGAAAGACCCCGUGAACCUUUACUAUAGCUUGACACUGAACAUUGAGCCUUGAUGUGUAGGAUAGGUGGGAGGCUUUGAAGUGUGGACGCCAGUCUGCAUGGAGCCGACCUUGAAAUACCACCCUUUAAUGUUUGAUGUUCUAACGUGGACCCGUGAUCCGGGUUGCGGACAGUGUCUGGUGGGUAGUUUGACUGGGGCGGUCUCCUCCUAAAGAGUAACGGAGGAGCACGAAGGUUGGCUAAUCCUGGUCGGACAUCAGGAGGUUAGUGCAAUGGCAUAAGCCAGCUUGACUGCGAGCGUGACGGCGCGAGCAGGUGCGAAAGCAGGUCAUAGUGAUCCGGUGGUUCUGAAUGGAAGGGCCAUCGCUCAACGGAUAAAAGGUACUCCGGGGAUAACAGGCUGAUACCGCCCAAGAGUUCAUAUCGACGGCGGUGUUUGGCACCUCGAUGUCGGCUCAUCACAUCCUGGGGCUGAAGUAGGUCCCAAGGGUAUGGCUGUUCGCCAUUUAAAGUGGUACGCGAGCUGGGUUUAGAACGUCGUGAGACAGUUCGGUCCCUAUCUGCCGUGGGCGCUGGAGAACUGAGGGGGGCUGCUCCUAGUACGAGAGGACCGGAGUGGACGCAUCACUGGUGUUCGGGUUGUCAUGCCAAUGGCACUGCCCGGUAGCUAAAUGCGGAAGAGAUAAGUGCUGAAAGCAUCUAAGCACGAAACUUGCCCCGAGAUGAGUUCUCCCUGACCCUUUAAGGGUCCUGAAGGAACGUUGAAGACGACGACGUUGAUAGGCCGGGUGUGUAAGCGCAGCGAUGCGUUGAGCUAACCGGUACUAAUGAACCGUGAGGCUUAACCUUACAACGCCGAAGCUGUU